CUGCUCUCUUCUCCCUCUUCUCCCAAAUCCAGCAUUGGCUCCUUUCUUUUCUUCUCCAAAUCCAGUUUCAUCACGUCGCAGAUGCUCUCCUUUUUCUUCUUCCACAAAUCCGGUUGUUCUCCUUCCUCUUCUUCCCCGAAUCCAAUUUAAUCGCCGCCGACGCUUUUCUUUUUUUUUUUUUUUCUUCUCCAAAUCCGAUCGCCGACGCUCUCCUUCCUCUUCUUCCCCAAAUCCAAUUUUAUCACCGCCGACGUCCUCCUUCCUCUUCUUCUCUAAGCAUAGCGACUGCCGGCCUGCCUCCACCAUCCUAGGGUUUGCGGGAGAAGGUUUGCUGAUGAGGGAAUUGGAAUGAAGUUUGGUGAUGAGGGAAUUGACGAAGGGUUUUUUCAGAAAGCCACUGUAAAAGAAUUUUACGCCCAUAGUGGAAAACAUCAUUCGACACGCUGGCUUCGGUUGACACAUCGGCGGGAAGGGCUCAAUUGAGGCAAGAGCCAUUGAUGAAUCCAGUGUCUGUAUUAACUCAAUCAAACUACUUACGAUUGAAGAAACUUCUUAUCUGCACAUGUGCCCCGGUGGGCGUCCCAUUUCCAAAUCGUUCUAAGCUAUGUAUGGUACCAUUCAACCUAUUCUCCAAAUGGCAUUCUGUCAGAAGUUUUGCAGUGGAUACAGUGUUAGGGGAUGGCGGUAUACAGUUUGAAAGACAUGGGACUCCCGGUUUUUGAAUCAAAACAAUUCCCAAUGGAGCUCAAAUGAUCUUGAAGGACAGCUUCAGGAUUUAUUUGAUGAAAUUAUGAAUAUGAUUAAAUUGGGGAGAAAGAUGAAGCAAUAGAUUUGCUUCAAGCCAAUUAUGAAGCUGUUAAGGAGCAGGUGGAUUCCGGAACUAGAAACGUAGCAGAAGCUGCUGUUCUUGAUGUCUUACUCUUGGGCUACAUGGCCAUCGGAGACUUACAGACUGCCCAGAUCGUAAUAGAUGAGUUGCACAAGAUCGUGAAUGAGUUAAACGAUGACGAAAUGCUUUUUGAUUCAAUACUCAUGCAUAUGGGAAGUAUCUAUGCUAAGUUGGAAAAGUUCAAUUAGUCCAUUUGUGUCUACAGAAGAUGCCUCCAAAUUAUGGAAAGAAAAUAUGGUAGUUGAACUUCAACAGGAAGUAAGAGCUCUCUCCUUUGCACGCCAUUACUGGGAAUGGCAAAAGCUCUAGGAAAUAGCAGAAGGGCCCCUGAAGCAUUGGAAAUAUAUCAGAAAAUUAUUAACAUAUUAGAAUCUUGCACAUGGAAAAAUUUCAGAUGCUGAGCACCAAUUCAAUAGGAUUCUAAAGAUUUACACUAGAUUAUAUGGACAAAAGGAUGGUAGGGUUGGAACAGCAAUGUGCUCUUUGGCCAACGUAAAAUGUGCAAAAGGAGAUGUGAAUGAAGCUAUUGACCUGUACAAGAGUGCCCUCUAGAUCCUCAAGGAUUCAAAAGGUGUGGCUUUCGACGACAAAGAUAUGGAGAAGAUGAUAAUAGACUUAGCUGAACUACUUCAUGUUGCAGGGAGGGGAGAAGAAGGCCGAACCCUGUUGGAAGAAUGGUUGUUCAUAACUGAGAAAUAUAAAGGAAAAGGACAUCCCAGCUUAGUACCCAAUCUUGUAAAUCUCGCAACCUCCCAUUCGCGCUCCAAGAAUUUUGCUGAAGCUGAACGCUUACUGCAAAUAGGUCUACAGAUAAUGAUGAAGGCUGCACCCGCUGACGAUCCAUCUAUUACUUUCCCUAUGUUACAUUUAGUUGUUGCCCUUUGCAAUCUACAUCGUGACGAAGAAGCAAAAAAACUUGCAUUAGAUGCUUUGCUCAUCCGUGAAAAAGCAUUCGGAAAGGAAUCUUUACCUGUUGGAGAGGCUCUUGAUUGUUUGGUGUCCAUUCAAACUCGACUAGAUGAAGACGACAUUGAAUUGGUUGAGAUGCUCAAGAGGGUUUUGAAAAUCCAGGAAAUAGCUUAUGGCCAUGAUAGCAAACAGGUUGUGGAAACUCUGAAGAAACUUGUAUAUUACCUCGACAACGGGAAAGAAAACUGAGAAAUAUCAUCUGGAAAAGAGAUUGUCUGCUCUAAGAAACAAGUUCAAACAACUUUUCAUUCAAAGUCGAGUUCCAGAACUUCGACUCGCCUGCCGCAAGAUAGCUGUAUAUCAAGAGCGGUUGGCAGCUUUUGAAGUGUGGCUUAAUCAUGGAUCUGAACAUAAAAGCCAUCAAAAAAAUUUGCCAAUUGUAUUUCAGGUAUAUGCGAAAGCAUUCGAAAAAGGGCUUCUCUGGUGCACUAUUGCAGUUCGAUACAAAGGUAUUGUUGAAAAAAGCUUCAGCAUAACGGCGGAUAUAAAGGAAAAGACUUCAACGUAUCGGUGGAUUCAAAUUUUAAGGCCACGCCCGCGCUGAGGCCCAGACCAGUCGUCCGUCAGCGCAACACUCUUGGGAUAUACCAUACAGUAUGGAGAAUCAUGCGGAACAGGUACCUGCAUCAAGAUAUGGGUCAUUAGUCGGCCGCACAGGACAGAAGCUCGCACACAUGGAACGGACUAUGGCCGAGAACCAGGGGCAGAAAUGUCAGCCCGUGACGUUAGACUAACCAUAAGUUCACCCCUAUCCAAAAGUGCGCACUGGAUAAAACCCGACCGCAAAUUAGAUCCGACAUGCAAGUCAUACUAGACGAACCAUAUAUGACAGAUGACAUUAAGUGUUAGAAUUUGAAUCCAUAACCUCGCAGUCACACGUUCGACCCCACACCACCGAGCAAUACCUAAAGCUUUUCAUAGCAUAUACAAUGGAUAGAGAUGGCCUCUCAUUUACUCUGAGGUUUUUUUUAUUAUAUUUUCUUCAUUUCAAAUGGAAGGCCCUUUUU